rnacentral:rRNA from 1 species
GGGCCCGCACAAGCGGUGGAGCAUGUGGUUUAAUUCGAUGAUACGCGAGGAACCUUACCAGGGCUUAAAUGUAGUCUGACAGGCGUGGAAACAUGCUUUUCUUCGGACAGAUUACAAGGUGCUGCAUGGUUGUCGUCAGCUCGUGCCGUGAGGUGUCAGGUUAAGUCCUAUAACGAGCGCAACCCCUGUUGUUAGUUGCCAGCGAGUCAUGUCGGGAACUCUAACAAGACUGCCAGUGCAAACUGUGAGGAAGGUGGGGAUGACGUCAAAUCAUCACGGCCCUUACGUCCUGGGCUACACACGUGCUACAAUGGUCGGUACAGAGAGCAGCCACUACGCGAGUAGGAGCGAAUCUUCAAAAACCGAUCUCAGUUCGGAUCGCAGUCUGCAACUCGACUGCGUG